UAAGGCCGUUGUCUGCAGCUGAUGAUCUCCAAAAAGAGCAAAACCAGUAGGUCCUGCAAUACUGGACAAAAGAACU
rnacentral:hammerhead_ribozyme from 1 species